rnacentral:lncRNA from 1 species
ACGGCCUCUACUUUCCACGUAUCCAAUAAACAGUACUGCACUGACAACAUGCUGUACAAGGUGUAUACAGAACGGAACAGAGUUAAAACAAAUAUUUUUCGAAAGCAGAGAAAAUGCACGAUGUCCGCAAGGACCGUUUCUCUACUAAGUCGAAAGAACACGGUGGUGUCAACGCAGGACCAUUUCUAACUCUCUCUUAUGGCCAAGGUAUCUAGAGUCAAGUCUCCUAGAAUGGCUACUCUAGCAAUGGAAGUGCUAGCAGAGAACCGGGAAGAGGCCAAAGACUUGGUGUAUU